CCUACACCAUAAUUUACCCUAAAAUCAUUUUAAAAGAAUCCUAAACCCUAUAAAACCCUAAACCCUAAAAAUCACUAAGAAAACCUAAACCCUAAAAAUCACUAAGAAAACCAAAACCUUAAAAAAAAUCUUUAAAACCCUUAAACAUAAGGAACCCUAAAUCCCAAACUUUAAACCCUGAAUCCUUUACCCUAAGAAACCCUAAAUCGUAAACCAAAAACCCAAACUCUAAGAAAACCCCAAACCCUAAACCCAAAAAAACACUAAGAAAAACCUAAAUCCUAAAAAACAACACAAAACACUUUAAAAAUUCUAAACCUCAAAAACUUAACAAACAUAAACCCUAAACCCUAGAAAAACCCUAAACCUAAAACACUAAACCCUAAAAGACCCAAAGAAACCCUACGAAACCUAAACCCUAAACCUUAAUGAUAAAUCCCCAAGCCUAAUCCUUAUGAAACUCUAAGAAUCCCUAAAUACUAACAAAAACAAAACACUAAUAACCUUUAAAACUCUAAAACUAAAAAUCCCGAAAACAAACCUUACAAACCCUAAAAAAUUCCAUAAUCUAAAACCCUAAGUCCUAAGCCCUUAGAACUCCUAAACCGUAAAAACAUUAAUGAUUCUAAAAAAUCCUUAAAAAUCCUAAGUCAAAAAAAACUCUUAACCUAAAAAAAUCCAAGAAAAACUUAAGCUCUAAACCCUAAGAAAACCCCAAACCCUAAACCCAAAAAAGCACUAAGAAAAACCUAAACACGAAAAAACAACACAAAAAACUAUAAAAACCUAUAAAAAAUCUUAAACCUAACAAACAUAAACCCUAAACCCUAGAAAAACCACAAACCUAAAACACUAAACCCUAAAAGACCCAAAAAAAACUAGGAGACCUUAAAUGUUAAACUCAAACCCUAAGAAACCUAAACCCUAAACCUUAAUGAUAAACCCCCAAGCCUAAUCCUUAUGAAACUCUAAGAAUCCCUAAAUCCUAAGAAAAACAAAACACUAAAACCUUUAAAACUCUAAAACUAAAAAUCCCGAAAACAAACCUUACAAACCCUAAAAAAAUUCCAUAAUCUAAAACCCUAAGUCCUAAGUCCUUAGAACUCCUAAACCGUAAAAAAAUUAAUGAUCCUAAAAUAUCCUUAAAAAUCCUAAGUCAAAAAAAACUCUUAACCUAAAAAAUCCAAGAAAACUUAAGCUCUAAACCCUAACCUAAAAACCUUUACCCAAAUACCUAAACUCUUAUUAAUCAUGUUCAGAUUAUACCAUUGUUCAAUAUGCUCUAUUCAGUUAUAUAUAUUUGUUCAGCUUUAUCCUACCAUGCAUGCUCAGUACCUUUCAAGUCAUGACACAUACUCUAAGCCUAAUCCUUAUGAAACUCUAAACCUUAAACCCUUAUAAACCCUAAUACCUUAAAACCUAAGAUCCUAAACCCUAAACCCUAAGAAACCUUAUACCUAAGAAACCCUAAUACCCUAAACCCUAUUAAACCUUAAAAACCUUUAAAAACUCUAAACCUAUAUUCUCAAAAAAAAAAAAACGCUUUUAAAACCCCUAAAAACCAUAAACCCAAAAAACAAUAAGCCCUACACCAUAAUUUACCCUAAAAUCAUUUUAAAAGAACCCUAAACCCUAUGAAACCCUAAACACUAAAAAUCACUAAGAAAACCUAAACCCUAAAAAUCACUAAGAAAACCAAAACCUUAAAAAAACACAUUAAAUCCCCUAAACCUAAGGAACCUUAAAUCCCAAUCAUUAAACCCUGAAUCCUUUACCCCUAAAUCAUAGGCCAAAAACCCAAACUCUGAGAAAACCCCAAACCCUAAACCCAAAAAAACACUAAGAAAAACCUGAACCCUAAAAAACAACACAAAAAACUAUAAAAACUCUAAACCCUAAAAACCUCUAAAAAAUCAUAAACCUAACAAACACAAACCCUAAACCCUAGAAAACCCCUAAACCUAAAACACUAAACCCUAAAAAAUCGGAAAAAAAAACUAGGAGACCUUAAAUGUUAAACUCAAACCCUAAGAAACCUAAACCCUAAACCUUACGGAUAAACCCCCAAGCCUAAUCCUUAUGAAAACUCAAAGAAGCCCUAAAUCCUAAGAAAAACAAAACAAUAAAAACCUUUAAAACUCUAAAACUAAAAAUCCCGAAAACAAAUCUUACCAACCCUAAAAAUAUUCCAUAAUCUAAAACCCUAAUUCCAAAGCCCUUAAAACUCCUAAACCGUAAAAACAUUAAUGAUCCUAAAAAACCCUUAAAAAUCCUAAGUCGAAAAAAACUCUUAACCUAAAAAAAUCCAAGAAAAACAUAAGCUCUAAACCGUAACCUAUAAGCCUUUACCCAAAUACCCAAACUCCAAACUCUUAUUAAUCAUGAUCAGAUUAUACCAUUGUUCAAUAUGCUCUAUUCAGUUAUAUAUAUUUGUUCUGCUUUAUCCUAUCAUGCAUGCUCAGUACCAUUCAAGUACUGACACAUUCUCUACGCUACAUCUUCUCGUGAUGUAGGUACAGGUCCUCGACAUUCGGAUCAUGUGGAUAUCGGUUCCCGAUCCGUAUUCAGUCAUAUCAGUGGUGAGUCCUCGUUCUUCGAGGACGAUUGACAUGUUUUAUAUUCUGUCUUUCAUUUUAUUUAGUUUUGCUAGAGUUAGUUGGGGGCAUGUCCCAGUAUCUCUAGUAAGUUAGAGGCUUUGAUUCAGACAUUGUUUUUGUCACUCCCCGAGGUUACUCCCAAGACGUAACGCGGGACUUAGGAUCACGAGUAACCCCAAGCUAACCUUGAGUUGGCAUAUCAUAAGCAUAUUAGAUCAACACCUUAAAAAACCUUUAGUAACCUAAACCUAAGAAAUUUGAAACACCUAAGAAAUCCUAAACACUAAACCCUUAGCCUUAGGGAAACCCCUAAACCCCAAGACCUAUGAAACACCAACAAACCCUAAACCCUAAGAAAUCCUAAACCCUAAAAACACCUUUAAAUACAGUAAACUUAAAAAUCCCCUUGAAACCCCUUACCCCUAAAAAACCCCAAAUCUAAAAUCCUAAGCACAAAACUCAAAGAAAUCAUAAUCCCUAAGAACCCCUAAACCAUAGAAAAUUAUAAAAAUCUUGAAAACCCUUUUAAAAUCCUAGAUCGAAAAAAAAUUCUAAAUCUAAAAAUUUUUGCAAAAGCUUAAGCCCUAAGCCUUAAACCUUAAAAUCCCUUGAAUAAAAAACUUAGACCUUCAACCCUAAAUCCUAAGAAACCCUAAAUGCUCAACUCUAUGCCCAAAGAAACCUUAAACCUUAGGGCUAAACCCUAAGAGUCUACCUAAAGAAAUAAAAAAAACACUAAAAAACACAAAAAAGCCCUAAACCCUAAACUUUUAAAAACCCUGAACCUUAUAAAAACCCUAAACUCUAAGAACCCCUUAAUCGUAAAAAAACCAUAAAUGUCCUAAACAUCCUUUAAAACCCUAAACCUAAAAAUUGCUCUAAACCUAAUAAAACCGUAGAAAAUCUUAAGGCCAAAACCCUAAUAAAAAAAACCUAACCCUAAGAAAUCCUAUACCCUAAGAAACUGUAAAUCCUUAAAUCUAAACCAUAGAGCUAACCUCUAUACCUCAAACCAUAUGAAACACUAAGAAAUCCUAAACCCUAUGAAAACCUAAACCCUAAAAUCCAGUAAAAUCCCUAAAACUAUAAUACUCAGGGUAAAAAAUAAAUCCCUUUAAAACCCUAAGCCUUAAAAAAAUCCAAUGUCCUAAAUCCUAAACACUAAACCAUAGGGCUAAACCCUAAACCUUAAACCAUAUGAAACACUAAGAAAUCCUAAACCCUAAAAUCCAUUAAAACCCCUAAAACUAUAAUAGUUGGGGGAAAAAUAAAUACCUUUAAAACCCUAGGCCUUAAAAAAAUCCUACGCCCUAAAUCCUGCGUAACCCUAAAUCUUAAGAAAUCCAAAUUCUGAAAAAACCCUAAGAAACCCUAAAACAUUUAAAAAGCCUAAUCAUAAAAAUAAUAAACCUUAAAAAACCAAAAACCCUAAAAAAAACUCUUAACCUAAAACACGAAAACCUAAACAUUAAACCUUAUACCUUAGGGCCUAAACGCUAAACCUUUGGACUUAACCCUAAACAUAAAGAAACCCCUAAAAACCUUUUAAAACUCUAAACCUAAAAACCCUUAAGAAAUCAAAAGCAUAAGCCCUUAAAAAACUCAAAAAAAAUAAUCUUUAAAUGUAAAACCCUAAGCCCUAAACUCUAAACCAGGAAACCCUAGCAUAUUCUAAGAAACACUAAACCCUAAGGAACUCUAAACUUUAAACCCUUAUAAACACUAAUACCUUAAAAUCUAAGAUCCUAAUUACUAAACCCUAAGAAACCUUAUACCUAAGAAACCCUAAUAAACUAAACACUAUAAAACCUUUAAAAACUCUAAACCUAUAUUCUCUGGAAAAAAAACCGUUUUAAAACCCCUAAAAACCUUAAACCUAAAAAAAUAGUAAGCCCUACACCAUAAUUUACCCUAAAAUCAUUUUUAAAAGAAUCCUAAUCCCUAUGAAACCCUAAACCCUAAAAAUCACUAAGUAAACCUAAACACUAAAAAUCACUAAGAAAACCAAAACGUUAAAAAAAUACUUUAAAACCCCUAAACCUAAGGAACCCUAAAUCCCAAACUUUAAACCCUGAAUCCUUUACCCUAAGAAACCCUAAAUCGUAAGCCAAAAACCCAAACUCUAAGAAAGCCCCAAACCCUAAACCCAAAAAA
rnacentral:lncRNA from 1 species